rnacentral:rRNA from 2 species
GGUUAAGCGACUAAGCGUACACGGUGGAUGCCCUGGCAGUCAGAGGCGAUGAAGGACGUGCUAAUCUGCGAAAAGCGUCGGUAAGGUGAUAUGAACCGUUAUAACCGGCGAUGUCCGAAUGGGGAAACCCAGUGUGAUUCGUCACACUAUCGUUAACUGAAUACAUAGGUUAACGAGGCGAACCGGGGGAACUGAAACAUCUAAGUACCCCGAGGAAAAGAAAUCAACCGAGAUUCCCCCAGUAGCGGCGAGCGAACGGGGAGCAGCCCAGAGUCUGAAUCAGCUUGUGUGUUAGUGGAACGGUCUGGAAAGUCCGACGGUACAGGGUGAUAGUCCCGUACACCAAAAUGCACAGGUUGUGAACUCGAAGAGUAGGGCGGGACACGUGGUAUCCUGUCUGAAUAUGGGGGGACCAUCCUCCAAGGCUAAAUACUCCUGACUGACCGAUAGUGAACCAGUACCGUGAGGGAAAGGCGAAAAGAAC